rnacentral:siRNA from 1 species
GCCAAUUGUGGUGUAAACAGUCC